rnacentral:rRNA from 1 species
AUACUGACACUGAGGAGCGAAAGCGUGGGGAGCGAACAGGAUUAGAUACCCUGGUAGUCCACGCCGUAAACGGUGGGCGCUAGUUGUGCGAACCUUCCACGGUUUGUGCGACGCAGCUAACGCAUUAAGCGCCCCGCCUGGGGAGUACGAUCGCAAGAUUAAAACUCAAAGGGAUUGACGGGGCCCCGCACAAGCAGCGGAGCAUGCGGCUUAAUUCGACGCAACGCGAAGAACCUUACCAAGGCUUGACAUAUACAGGAAUACGGCAGAGAUGUCGUAGCCGCAAGGUCUGUAUACAGGUGGUGCAUGGUUGUCGUCAGCUCGUGUCGUGAGAUGUUGGGUUAAGUCCCGCAACGAGCGCAACCCUCGUUCUGUGUUGCCAGCAUUUAGUUGGGGACUCACAGGAGACUGCCGGGGUUAACUCGGAGGAAGGUGGGGAUGACGUCAAAUCAUCAUGCCCCUUAUGUCUUGGGCUGCACGCAUGCUACAAUGGCUGGUACAAACGGCUGCAAUACCGCAAGGUGGAGCGAAUCCGAGAAAGCCAGUCUCAGUUCGGAUUGGGGUAUGCAACUAGACCCCAUGAAGUCGGAGUUGCUAGUAAUCGUAGAUCAGCAACGCUACGGUGAAUACGUUCCCGGGGCUUGUACACACCGCCCGUCACAUCACGAAAGUCGGUAACAC